rnacentral:misc_RNA from 1 species
UUCAUUUAUUUCAGAUGUUUUAACAAAAAAAAUGUUGUAAUUGUGCAUUAAUGUAAAGUAUUUUGACUAUUAUUUGAUUUGAAUCGUUUGCCUUUGAAUUUUGUUGCUUAAAGAUGCUGAUCCUAGGUAUUUUAUUUAUACGUUGAUUGAAUUCUUUAAUGCAUAAAAGACGGUUAAAUAUUUCUCAAUGUUCUGCUUGUUGAUUAUUCAAUUUUAGUACUUCAUUUUGGUGGUUAAUGUUAGAUGAUAUCGGAUUGCUUAAUGCUAUCUCUUAGGAUGCUUUAAGUUUUGAUAUCCUUUAAAUAAUAUAGGUAAUAAUGCGGUGACUACUGAAGGAUAUUGAAUUAAUGUUAUUAUUAUACAUGUUAAGGAAGAAGUAAUUUUGUUCUUGGACCAUAAUAUUUGAUGAUAGAGAUUGUAAAGGCAAGUGUUGUGUGUUUGGUGUUCGGAAAAUGUUGAUUGCUGGAGUUUGCUUAUGAAAGAUCUAUCUAUCCCUAUUUUUGGAUUUUUCUCUCCUUUCUUGUAUAUGAUAAAAUUAGAUCAUUUUAUGUUGAAGGAAGACUUAAUUUUUUAUCAAUUUUUUUAUAAUUUUUUGCAGGGAGGUAAUUUAUGGAUGGUUUGGAUUUAUCAAUUGUGCACAAUGAAAGUCAUUGCAAAGUCUAGCUUAGUUAUAUUUGAUAAAUAUAUCCUUUAUAGAAUAUUAUUUGCCUUUUUAAUUUUUUUUAUGUGGGUUAAUUUAGAGCAGCAUGCUCUAUAUGAAGAUGUACUUAUGCAUAGGCAUGAACAGGCAAAUUCUUAUCUUUUUUGCUGUACUGUUACAGGCUUCUUGAUUUCAGAAGCAAU